rnacentral:sRNA from 1 species
ACAAAAGCAAGGAGCCGGAGUAGUAGACUGGCAUCAGGCAGAGAGUCGCGGGAAGCUGCGAAGCGACAAAGCUGGUUGAACUCGCCGGGGAGCUUUGCAGGUGACAUUAGCCUGCAACGGGGAUUCCGUUAUGAUUUGUCAAGUGGACAGUAUGUGGGGCUAUGGCGCAGUUGGGAGCGCGCUUGAAUGGCAUUCAAGAGGUCGUGGGUUCGAAUCCCACUAGCUCCACCAUUAUUAUCUGUCAAUAAGGGUGGUACCGCGGGUAAUUAUCGCUCUCGUCCCUAUU